AUGGGAGUGGAGGAGCAGGGGAAGAAGAAUGGCGGCGAUGGGGGUGGGAGGACGAACAAGUACGCUGUCGCCUGCUCCGUCAUCGGCUCCAUCAUCUCCAUCCUCAUGGGCUACGACACCGGCGUGAUGAGCGGCGCGAUGCUGUUCAUCAAGGAGGACCUCGGGACCAACGACACGCAGGUGCAGGCCCUCGCCGGCAUCCUCAACGUCUGCGCGCUCGCCGGCUCCCUCACCGCCGGCCGCGUCUCCGACUGGGUGGGGCGCCGCCGCACCAUCUCGCUCGCAGCCUGCAUCUUCCUCGCGGGCUCCGUCCUCAUGGGCCUCUCGCCCAACUUCGCCACGCUCCUGGCCGGCCGCUGCGUCGCCGGCGUCGGCGUCGGCUACGCGCUCAUGAUCGCGCCCGUCUACGCCGCCGAGAUCGCGUCCGCGGACAUCCGCGGCUCGCUCACCUCGCUCCCCGAGAUCUGCAUCAGCUUCGGCAUCCUCAUUGGCUACGUGUCCAACUACUUCCUCGCCAAGCUGCCGCUGGUCUACGGCUGGCGCACCAUGCUGGGGCUCGGCGCGCUCCCCAGCGCCGUGCUCGCCCUCGGCGUCCUGGCCAUGCCGGAGUCGCCCCGGUGGCUCGUCAUGCAGGCCCGCCCGGACGAGGCGCUCGCGGUCCUCCGGAAGGUCUGCAACACGGCGGGAGAGGCCGACGUGCGGCUCGCGGACAUCAAGAGCGCGGCCGGGUUCGUCGAGGGAGACGACGCGUCCGCGCCCGCGACCGGCAGCGGCGGCAAAGGCGUGUUGAAGGAGAUGUUCAUACACCCGACGCCGACCGUCCGUCGCGUCCUCGUGGCCGGCCUGGGCAUCCACUUCUUCCAGCACCUGAGCGGGAUCGAGGCCGUGGUCCUCUACAGCCCGCGGAUCUUCAAGGCGGCCGGCAUCGCCACCCGCAACAAGAUCCUCGCGGCAACCAUUGGGGUGGGCGUGACGAAGACGGUGUUCAUCAUGACGGCGAUCCUGCUCGUCGACCGCGUCGGCCGGCGGCCACUCUACCUGUCCAGCCUGGCCGGCAUCGUCGCCUCGCUAACCUGCCUCGGCCUAGGCCUCACCGUCAUCGAGCACUCGCCUCACGGCCACGGCGCGCCCUGGGCGGUCGUGCUGGCCAUCACCACGGUGUUCACCUUCGUCGCCUCCUUCUCCGUCGGCGUGGGGCCCAUCACUUGGGCCUACAGCUCAGAGGUCUGGCCGCUCCGGCUGCGCGCGCAGGGCGCCAGCAUCGGCGUGGCCAUCAACCGCAUAAUGAACGCCGGCGUGUCCAUGACCUUCGUCACCCUGUACAAGGCGAUCACCAUCGGCGGCGCCUUCUUCCUCUUCGCGGGGUUGGCGGUGGUGGCUGCCACGUUCUUCUACUUCUGUUGCCCGGAGACGCAGGGGAGGCCCCUGGAGGAGAUCGAGGAGGUGUUCAGCCAGGGUUGGCACGCCCGGCGGAGGCAGCAGCCGUCGUCGUCGCCGGUGGCCGACAGCAAGGCAUAG
rnacentral:rRNA from 1 species